UACGUAGGGUGCAAGCGUUAAUCGGAAUUACUGGGCGUAAAGCGUGCGCAGGCGGUUAUGUAAGACAGAUGUGAAAUGCCCGGGCUUAACCUGGGAACUGCAUUUGUGACUGCAUGGCUAGAGUUUGGCAGAGGGGGGUAGAAUUCCACGUGUAGCAGUGAAAUGCGUAGAUAUGUGGAGGAACACCGAUGGCGAAGGCAGCCCCCUGGGUCAAGACUGACGCUCAUGCACGAAAGCGUGGGGAGCAAACGAGGAUUAGAGUACCCCGU
rnacentral:rRNA from 1 species